ACGAACGCUGGCGGCGUGCUUAACCCCUGCCAGUCGAACGGAAAGGCCCUGCUUUUGUGGGGUGCUCGAGUGGCGAACGGGUGGGUAACACGUGAGUAACCUGCCCUUGACUUUGGGAUAACUUCAGGAAACUGGGGCUAAUACCGGAUAGGAGCUCCUGCUGCAUGGUGGGGGUUGGAAAGUUUCGGCGGUUGGGGAUGGACUCGCGGCUUAUCAGCUUGUUGGUGGGGUAGUGGCUUACCAAGGCUUUGACGGGUAGCCGGCCUGAGAGGGUGACCGGCCACAUUGGGACUGAGAUACGGCCCAGACUCCUACGGGAGGCAGCAGUGGGGAAUAUUGCACAAUGGGCGGAAGCCUGAUGCAGCAACGCCGCGUGCGGGAUGACGGCCUUCGGGUUGUAAACCGCUUUCGCCUGUGACGAAGCGUGAGUGACGGUAAUGGGUAAAGAAGCACCGGCUAACUACGUG
rnacentral:rRNA from 1 species